CUCAUUCUAAAAUGGAUUACAUACAACAUUUUCCUCAUCAAUCUACACACAAUAUCCUAUAAUGACAAAGCAAAAACAGUUUAGACAUUUUUGCAAUUUAAAACGGAAAAAAACAGAAAUACCUUAUUUACAUAAGUAUUCAAACCCUUUGCUAUGAGACUCGAAAUUGAGCACCGGUGCAUCCUGUUUCCCUUGAUCAUCCUUGAGGUAUUUCUACAACAUGAUUGGAGUCCACCUGUGGUAAAUUCAAUUGAUUGGACAUGAUUUGGAAAGGCACAUACCUAAGGUCCCACAGUUGACAGUGCAAAAAUCUAUUUUAAUUCCAGGUUAUAAGGCAACAAAAUAGGGAAAAUGCCAAGGGGGGUGAAUACUUUCGCAAGCCACUGUAAAUGGUUCAGUUCACAUAAACAGUCAUUAUUUUCAGUUUGAGAGAUCAUCCCGGGCUUUGCCCCGUCUGCUGUAGCUGAGAUGUCCCUGGAGGACAUAGAACAACAAGACUAUGAUGUUUCUGACACUGAGAGAGUCAGAGCCUUGUCCCAGUCUCUAGACCUGCCUGUCUGUGUGGUGGAUGACCACCUGACCUCUGAAGCUGUCAAUGAGAUGGAGCAGAGCAAUUCUACCAGGAGCAGAGCAACCUCAGUGAUGGAAACCACAGAAGAGGGGAAGCUCAACAAUGUGGAACAUCUGACACUGAUGGACUUCCUUCAAAACCUAACUGAGAA
ensembl:lncRNA